UUCAGAACCACAAGUCCAUCCUAUGCAAACUGGAGAUGUCUGUGUCACUGCAUGCUGUGACAUGGGUCUGGAUGGUGACACAUCUUCAAGCUGCCGGACUGAAGACUGUGGCCUUCAUUGGUACCAGAAGCAAGGGCCUUACCUAAGAAUACAGCAAGUCUCCCUCUCGAUCUCACAGCCUUUCUGUCAACAUGUAUGUACCCACUCAAAUUCACACCAACAGCUACGGACACAAGAACAGACUUUUAUUCACUUGUUUUUACUUGUCGCAGUCUUCAAUCUUGUCUGGGAUAUAUAUUUUAGUUGCCAAACCUGUGUGAUGUCUGAUAUACAUAAACAAUGUAUUCACCCCGGACAUGAGAAUUGUAUUUACUUUAGACCUUUUGAAUCAUCAAGUGUCGUCUUUGUGUUUAAGCUACCACAGAAGUUAGUCAAAGCUGAUGUGACAAACAUGCAUGUACAAAUUGUUUUGUAAUCUAACAAUACAAUUAAAUAGAGUUUAUACAAAACUA